rnacentral:tRNA from 1 species
GAGGGUAUAGCUCAGUGGUGGAGUGUGUACUUAGCAUGCAGGAGGUCCUGGGUUCAAACCCUAGUAACUUUA